rnacentral:lncRNA from 1 species
GGCAGUGCAGAUGACUGCGUCACUUGUAUAUUUUUGUUUGUCUGCUCCUAGACACAGCAGAGGUUUUUCUUUUAACAGGACAGAAUUUACCACAAAAUUUUUAUGUUAUAAAACUUUAUUGGAGUUAUAUACUUUGUAUACUUUCAUUUUAAUAUUUUAUUCAGUGAUCUCUCCCCAGUCUAGGUUUGCUCAAUUACAACUCCGUAAACCAAUUUUAUUGCUUUGAAACAGCCAUGUUGCUAUAUUUGGAGAUAUGAAAGGGUCAUUACUAGAUAAGGAGCCACCAGCUCAUUAACUGUAGUAACAUAUCGGCAGUCUUUUUUUUUUCUUUUUUUUUAAAUGCCUGGCUCUAUGACACAAAACAAAACAAACAGCACCCUGAUUGCAACGUCACGGCAGGUUUUUUAGUCUCAGGGAAAAGCCGUAUUUGUGUGCUGUGGGUGGGGUCAAUGUGGGAAAAAUGCUCUCAGGUUGCAUCAGUGUCUAAGUUUAAAGGUGUGAAUGUAUCUUAUGCGAAGGUCAGAGAGUAGAGGGGGGUCAGGAGACUGGAAAAAAGCAGGGUGUGUCAAAAGUGAUUGAUUCUGCUGUGAUAAGCAGAAAGAAAAUCAAGUGUACAAUCAGAGGAAAGGGCAAUUUAAAAACAGAUGGCAGACUGGAAUCUCAGGUUUACCCGAAGGCAUUACAAGUUCGGACACACCUUUCUCAGCUCUUCUGGAAUCUGGUAUGAAACAAGAAACAGUUGUAAGUCUGUGCAAUAUGUACCAGUGCGACUACUGAGGAAGAGAAAGGAAAGUCUAAACCGAAAUAAAAUAUGAGAACUAACGCAACACUGUGAGGAAGGCAGCUCGAGUUGGAAAAGAAGGAGAUAAUAGACCUGCUGACCAUCUCAACAAGACCUUGAUAUCACUCUGAGAAGAAGCCGGACAAACUUUGAACAAAGAUCAGACUGAGGAGUGGAUUCAGGACACUGCCUUUUAAAACUUGCUCAGAGAUGUCAGAGUCAUCCCAGAACCAUCUAAACAACCUCGAAGUUCUUCCACUGACUUCUGUACCAGGAACAGGUCUUCAACAACAUGAGGAAACCUGCAGUCAAGUAAUCUGUGAGGAAUCUACUGCGUCCUGCUGCAAUGACAAGUACCACAGGAAACUGGCCAUCUCUAGCAUCAUCUGUGGGUUUUACUGCUGCGGAAUCCCAGCUUUGAUUUAUUCUGUCAAGGCUGAGGAUGCUGACAAAGCUGAGAAGGCCGAGCCGACGACAGACAGGAGAGCUGCAAAGUAUUUAAAACAGGCCAAAAAAUGGGGCAUCAUCUCCAUCGUGACGUGGGUUUCCAUUUUGGUGUCAGUUCCAUUGCUGCUGGCACUGGUCUCAUAUCUCGCCACUUUAAAGGACUGAUCAACCUCAAAGGAGAACAGCCAGAGGAGUGGCUCUGCUGAUGUUUAUGGAGACGGACAGUGGAGAGCAGGAAGCUGCUGAAUCAAUAGCUACGAACACCAAAGCUGUGGAGAAACUACAGGUUACAUUAAAUGGAAAAAGGCUGUGUUGGUUUUUCUUACGCUGAAAUGGGUGCUGGCCUAAUUUAUACUUUUCUAGCUCCUUUAGUUUUUACACAAAGAACAAACAUCAGCUGAAAAUGGUAUUAAAUGUCUAACAACUGUUUUUGUUAUAUGCUGUGAUAUUUAUUGAACAAUAUGUUGACCCAUGGACAAUGCGAACAUACAUUAUAUAUUUAAGACUAAAGCUGUUAGUCUUGAAUAUAAAGCUACUUAAAUGUAAAGCUGCUCUCGUAAUGACUCAAUCCUUAAUAUUCUUACAAUUACACUGUAACUUUCUUACUGUAGAUGACUACAGAUGCUAUAUAAGUUAAUCAAUCAUUCAACAAGUCACUUUAAAAUGAAGCAACUUGUGACUUCAGGAUUGAGUCUCUACCGGAGGUAAAAUGCGAGGCAGUGAUCGUGGCAGUGCUUCAUCAGGACAUUAUGAGGUCCUGGUCUUGCUAUUUUUAUUUUAUUAAUAUCAAAUGUAUAUAUAUGCUGCACUUUUAUACAAACAUUAACAAACAAUUUUAUAAUAAAAUGAGGGAGCCUUUAUGGUAUUCAUCCACUUGAAACAUUUUAACAUGCACUCAUUAAAAAAACCCAAUGUCACGUUGCCAUGGCAUUAUUGCAUUGUUACAAUAUUUACUUCAUUAAUGUCAAAUGUACAUAUACAUAUAUAUAUAUAUAUAUAUAUAUAUGCAUACAUACAUGUUGUACUUUUAUACAAGCAUUAACACAAGCUGUUUUCUAAUAAAAUAACAGAUUUUCUAUGCUUUGAUUUGCUUGAAGUAUUUGUGCGUACAAAACAAAAUAUUUUAAUAGUUUUACAGUAUCUCAUUAACACUUGACAAAGAUUUUUUUCAAAUGUAUAGUGUUACUUGUACCGACCACAUUCUUUUAAUAGUCCAGUCUAUCAGGGCGUGUGUGCCACCUCUUUGACCUUUGGAUCAGGAGAGGUCACCCAUGUGGCUGGGUGACUUUGGCUCCCAAGGAGGACUUUCUCCUCAUCAACAAUUGUUCUGGGGCUCAUGCCUGUGGUUGUGUCAGGUGUACUCAGAAAUUGGAACAGGAAAAGCCAGUCCAUGCAAUCCAAGAUUCCCGGGAGUCCGUCAGUAGUGAUGGAUCCAUUAUGUGACCCAUAUAUUGGCCAGCAAAACCUCGGUGGAGUCUGGACCAUGAAUGGCUAGACCACUACCAUGGAUGGAUUGGAGGUGGUGCCUGUAUUUGGUUUCUCUGAAAUGGAGAACAUACUUUUACCUUUUCCUCCAAAGAGCUCUGCAUUCCCGGGCACCACACUAAUGAUCUGGGGACGGUUUUUAUUCAAGAAAUGCCUGGAUGAGCCUCGUGCAGCACUUCAAUCAUCUGUGUUCAUCCUGGGGUGGAACAAUGACUCUGGAACCCCACAGGAUGUAUCCAUCUUGAACACCAAGCUCCUGCUGAUGCUUGGCACAAGGUUUGAGCCCCUCCUGCUCAGCUGUUCCAUUUCAGCCCUGCAACAGCCAUGGCUUCACCUAUGAUAACUCUGGAUCUCUUUCAGUGAGUUGUUAGAUGGUCUGUCUAACAAAACACAGUCUCUGGCUUCAUGCUAGACUGACCGGGCAUCUCAGGCAGAUUUUCUUCCUUCGUCUUUUAUCCCUGUCACCAAAAAGAUGUUAAAACCUCAGGAUCACGAUGAAGUUUUAGGCUUCUACAGGUAGCUAUGUCACUUUCAGCUGUUUGUCUCAUCACAACAUGAUGUUGAUUAAUAAGAUGUCACCACCUGCAAUGAAAAUUUAAAUACCACAAAAGAAAAAAAACAGCAGUGGACACUUCAGACUAUUCAAAAUGCUCUCUGGAGCCUCACAUUGUCUCGAUCUUACAUUUCAUGCAAGAAAAACCACUGCAUGAAUAUGUAAUAUGAAUUUACAUCAUGUGUGCAUGUGGCAUUUCCUGUUCGCAAUAGUAUUGUAAACAUAGAACACAUUUCUGUUUACUAUGGUGUGAUGAGAAAACCUAAACAAAGACAUUUUAUGAUUUAAUAUAAAAUGUACCAGUCACCAGAAAUCUAAGUUUCCCCCCAAACUUCACAGCAAAUCUUAGGUUGUUUAUUUAUGCUUUACCAAAACAGCGACUCAUCCUCACAGGGAGUUUGUGCAGAUUUGUUAAACCUGGUAACACAAACUAGACCGACCUCGAGGAACUACCUCAAAAUAUCCAGCAUGUUGAAACACAAGUGGCAGGUUCCAGUCAGGGGUAAGGUAAUAUAGUACAGGCUAUAUUAUGAAUGACACACACUGCUUUUUCCUACUUAUUAUAGAGCAAUUUAGAUAGAGCUGAUUCAGAUAACACGACCUUUCCUCUGGUGCCACCUUCAGAUUAAACCAGUUACAGUCUUUAUCAGGCGCAGCUUCAUUCCACGUGCACAUUCCUGUCAGAAACGUACAUGGCACAGACACAGGUUUAUGUCGUCGCCCUACAACCAGGUGAACGGUGUUUGAA